AUUGAACGUUGGCGGCAGGCUUAACACAUGCAAGUCGAGCGGGGAAAGGUAGCUUGCUACCUGACCUAGCGGCGGACGGGUGAGUAAUGCUUAGGAAUCUGCCUAUUAGUGGGGGACAACAUUCCGAAAGGAAUGCUAAUACCGCAUACGUCCUACGGGAGAAAGCAGGGGAUCUUCGGACCUUGCGCUAAUAGAUGAGCCUAAGCCGGAUUAGCUAGUUGGUGGGGUAAAGGCCUACCAAGGCGACGAUCUGUAGCGGGUCUGAGAGGAUGAUCCGCCACACUGGGACUGAGACACGGCCCAGACUCCUACGGGAGGCAGCAGUGGGGAAUAUUGGAAAAUGGGGGAAACCCUGAUCCAGCCAUGCCGCGUGUGUGAAGAAGGCCUUAUGGUUGUAAAGCACUUUAAGCGAGGAGGAGGCUACUGAGACUAAUACUCUUGGAUAGUGGACGUUACUCGCAGAAUAAGCACCGGCUAACUCUGUGCCAGCCGCCGCGGUAAGAC
rnacentral:rRNA from 1 species